GUAUGCUCUUGCCUGUGCCUAAAUCCAGAAUUAGAAUUCAUGCUUGGUGCUCCUGUGGAAGAUGUCUAAAUGUUAUGAGAAAUACAUGAUUAAAUAAAAAUGUGAAAUGAAAGCAUGGAGACUUGUUGAAGAUGUAGGCUGUCCAGGUGUCCGGUACUAUAACUCCACAAGAUCAGUAGGGCCCCAGGCUUUUUCUGUUCUUUAUGAUCCACUCUCUACCAUGUAGCAUUUGUCUUCAAGAUCAAAAAAUGGUGGCUGUAGUGCUCACAUUCCAGAUAAGGAAGAAUGGGCAAGAAACAAAAGAUCCACUCCAAAUGUGAUGGCAAAAUUAAGACUUUUGAGUGAAAAAUGGAAAUUUGUCUUCAGUACAUACACACUGAAAGAAAUGUUGAAGAGAGUUCUUCAGGCAGAAGCAAAAUCAUUCCAAGGGAAAUCCUGGAAUGCAGGAAUAAAUGAAGAGCAAUGGAAAUGGUAAAUAUGUGGGUAAAUUUGAAGGAAUAUUGGCUGUAUUCUGUGGUUUAAAAUAUCUGUGGAAUUAAAAUGCACCUACAAUAACGAGA
rnacentral:lncRNA from 10 species